rnacentral:tRNA from 1 species
AAGUAAAAGUCAAAGAGAGACAAAUUAUUGUUAAUAAUUUAAAUGAGUUAUAUCUUACUUAAG